GAUGAACGCUGGCGGCGUGCUUAACACAUGCAAGUCGAACGAAGCACUUUAACCUGUUUCUUCGGAUGAAGGUUUUUGUGCCUGAGUGGCGGACGGGUGAGUAACGCGUGGGUAACCUGCCUCAUACAGGGGGAUAACAGCUAGAAAUGACUGCUAAUACCGCAUAAGACCACAGAGCCUCAUGGCUCGGUGGGAAAAACUCCGGUGGUAUGAGAGGGACCCGCGUCUGAUUAGGUAGUUGGUGGGGUAACGGCCUAUCAAGCCAACGAUCAGUAGCCGAGAUGAGAGGGGGACCGGCGACAUUGGGACUGAGAAACGGUAGAAAAUCCUACGGGAGGGAGGAGAGGGGAAUAGAGCAAAAUGGGGGAAGCGCUGAAGCAGCGACGACGGGAAAGCGAAGAAGUAUGGCAGUAAGUAAAGCGCAAGCAACAGGGCAGAAAAUGACGGUACCUGACUAGGAAGCAACGGCUAAAUACGUG
rnacentral:rRNA from 1 species